AUGUCACCGUUUCGACUUAAAAAUGGUCGCAACUUAGGCAAACAGAACACAUGUGAACUUUCCAAAAUCUGCGUUACUACACAGAAUAGCAAGUAGUCUAGGCUGUGUGAGUAACAAAAGUGUCAAGAAUCAGUACCAAGACCUGCGUCUGAGCAUGAGGAGGCCAUUUAUCCAGACUCAGUCAGCAAAACACAUGGCAACUGGAAACAGUACACUGACCUCACAUAUACUUCCACAAUCAGAAAGGAAAACCUAAAAAAACUGAUGUGUUUGAUUCAGAGCAACUUACCAAAUAUCUUGAACAUAUUAACAUUCAGAUUGAAAGCAACGAUGAUAAUGCCUGUAGACAUGCCAGAUCCAUUUCAGAAGCCUUCGAAGACAUGCCUCCUCUACCAACAAAAUAAAACUAGAUUAUAAGAACACUCAGUUGCUGAGUCAGUUCAUCUCCCCGUACACUGGUCGCAUGUAUGGUCGUCAUGUCACAGGACUCUGUCUACACAUGCAGAGACGAGUGGCAAGGGAAGCACGCAUAGCUAAUUUGAUGGGUUUCUUGCCCUUCAUGAACAAGCGUGUGAAAUACUUGGAAAUACUUUUAGAGGACCCGAUGCUGUCCAAUCCAUUCUCUAGAAAGACAUGCACACUUUUAUUAAAUUUCAUUUUAUAAUAUAUUGUGUAAUAAAAUCAGAAGAAGUUAGAUAUAACAUAUUCAGGACUUUUUUUCUUGAUUUUGGGAAAGGGCCUGUUCUUCGAUUUUGGGGGAAAAAAUGAUCAACAAAACUGAAAAAGGGAAAUCAUUUCCCAAAGUGAGCUUGGAAUUUGUUGAACAUUGCAUCAUUCAAAAAAAUUAUUUUAGGGGAAGGGGGCUUUUUCUCCGGGGAAGGAACCCUUAUAAUAUAAGGCCCUUGAUAAAGAAGGAAAAAGCCCCGUUAUUAUAGUGAUUAUGUGAGUAGCAUGCAAGACCAUUUGUUAUUCUCCUGAGGUAAAAGGUAGCGCACGUGUUCCUGAACAUAUAAUAAAACUUGAUAUUCUUAACUUAAGUUAUCUAACCAAGAAACUCUUAAUUUAAAAGAUGAUGCACGGAUGUAUUGUCUCACUGCGGAUUAUGUUGCUUACGUGUUGAAUAUCGAAUGACACAUUAUUCUGUUAAAACAAGAACAAGUUUUUCCGAGAAGGUGUUACAUACGGACGUUACUUUUCGGAUUGUGAGUCUCCAUAUUUUGCUCAAAAAUCAAGUUCGAUUUUUGCUACGGUCCAUUAAAUUUUGACGAAAUUACGGGCAUUGGAUAAUAAUUUCUCUAAAAUAACACUUCCAAAAAACGUUUAUGGAGGGAUUAUAAACUAACGCAUUAUUCAAAAAUAAAUAAAAUGUGAAUAGCAGUUGAAAACAACGGAAUUGAGAUGAGAUUUAAAAAAAGGUAUCAGAAGUCAGUUAUGAAAAUAACUAAAAUGUGAAUAGAAAUAAAAAAGAAUUUUAGCUGCGAUAUUAAAGGCGUUUCAGAACUUUCAACCUUUUAUCGCAUGGUAAUUGUUGAACCAAUCCAUUGAUUAAUACUUCGAAGCGAUUUUUAAAAUAUUGAUAUCAAGUUAACAUCUAAAGCUCUAUAGUGUGCAUAACAAUCACUUUAGAUCAUAAUUACGUAGUUCAUUAAGUGUGAGUUACAGUGGAAACCCUCUAAACCGGAUCCUCUCUAUACCGGAAUCCUCUCCAAACCGGACAAAUUGUCCGGUCCCAUUAAUUUCCCUAUAAAACCAUGCGUAAAAUAUCUCCUCAAAACCGGAAUCCCCUCAAUUCCGAAUACCGGUCAUUCUUUGGAUCAAAAUUGGGUAAUUUCAUACAUAAUUGUACCUCUCUAAACCGCUCAGGGCCGGUUUAUUGCACCUCAGACCUAGUGUCAAAAAGUUGUGAAUAGCGGAUUAAAGACGAGUGAAAUUAAUAAAGGUGGUCGAACAUUUGCAAACUGUAAAACUCGCAAAACAAUUUAUAGAUACUUGUCCUGUGAUGAACAUAUCGCUCAAUAGAUCUGAUAAUACUGAUUAUAAUUACUGAUAACAAACAGAGUUCUUUAGUGUGUUUUGUUUUGAUAUAGGAAGCCGUGCUAAAUUUUAAUAAUCUUUAUGCUAUUUAAUUUUGUGUUGUUUAUUACAAUUGCUAAUUGAGUGUCAAAUAAAAUGGUUAUUUGUAGAGUUAUUAAAGAAGUUGAAUUUAGAUAUUCAUUAAGAUUUUCAAAUUGGUAAUUAAGGUAACUAAGACUAAAAAUGUCCGAACUUCCUUCUAAGCGAUUGCGCGUAGUUUUGGUUCUAGAAGAAAAAACUCAAACUAAUAAGAGAGUCAGAGAUGUUAACAAACCUACUGUCAAGAUGCUGUCAGAGAAAUAUCGGGUAAGAAAGUCUACGAUCGGGGAUAUAGUGCGAAAAAAGUCGGCGUACAUGUUUUUCAGUGUGAAAAGGAACUAAACUCACCUUACACAUUCAUGCAUAAAUAAAAUUGUUUGUUUUUCAGGUUGCACUGUUUGAUCUAUGUUGUGACUGAUAUUGCUUUCGAAUCAACAUAUUAAGCCAUGUGUUUUUUUAUGUUAUGCAAUAUGAAUGAAUGUUAUAUGUAAAUAAACUUUGGAAAUUUG